GCGCAGCAGGCGAGAAAACUUCACACUGUGCGAAAGCACGAUGAGGGAAUCCCAAGUGCUUGCACGUAAGUGUAAGCUGUUUCUCUGUCUAAAACGCAGAGAGAGUAAGGGCUGGGUAAGACGGGUGCCAGCCGCCGCGGUAACACCGGCAGCCCAAGUGGUAGCCACGUUUAUUGGGUCUAAAGCGUCUGUAGCCGGCUGGGUAAGUUCCUUGGGAAGUUUGGCUGCUUAACAGUCAAGCUUUCAGGGGAAUACUGCCCGGCUUGGGGACCGGGAGAGGGUCAGAGGUACUCCAGGGGUAGGGUGAAAUCCAUUAAUCCUUGGGGGACCACCGGUAGCGAAGGCGUCUGACCAGACCGGGGUCCGACGGUGAGGGACGAAGGCUAGGGGGCGCGAACCGGAUUAGAUACCCGCGUAG
rnacentral:rRNA from 1 species